rnacentral:rRNA from 1 species
UACGUAGGCAGCAAGCGUUGUUCGGAGUUACUGGGCGUAAAGGGUGCGUAGGUGGCGCCAUAAGUCAGGUGUGAAAUCUCGGGGCUCAACCCCGAAACUGCAUUUGAUACUGUGGUGCUCGAGUACUGGAGAGGAGAUUGGAAUUUACGGUGUAGCAGUGAAAUGCGUAGAUAUCGUAAGGAAGGCCAGUGGCGAAGGCGAAUCUCUGGACAGUUACUGACACUGAGGCACGAAGGCCAGGGGAGCAAACGGG